AACGAACGCUGGCGGCAUGCCUAACACAUGCAAGUCGAACGAUACCUUCUGGUCUAUUUGCGCACUGGUGCGUCACCCGUGGGAACCUUCCCUUAUGUUCGGAAUACCUCCCCGCAAGGGGUGCUAAUACCGGACAAUUUCUUCUGCCCCAUGAUUUAUUGCCUUUGGAUGGUCCCGCGUUGGAUUAGCUAGUUGGUAGGGUAAAAGACUACCAAGGGUACGUUCCCUAGCUGGUAUGGGAAGAUGAUCCGCCACCCUGGGAGUGGGACACGGCCGGGAUGCCUGCGGAAGGAAGAAAGGGGGAAUAAUGGACGAUGGGCGAGAGAAUGAGCCAGUCAUGCCGCGAGAGUGAGGAAGGAGUUAAGGUUGUAAAGGAGUGUUAACAGGGAAGAAAAUGACGGUAACGGGAGAAAAAGCGCCGGCUAACUCCGUG
rnacentral:rRNA from 1 species